rnacentral:lncRNA from 1 species
GCACCCUUGCUAAGAAGUUAGUGGAGCGUGUGUGGUUUACCGGCACACUAAUUGGUUCUAAGCAAAGGUGGCAAAGGGUGAUUCAUUGUUUAUCAUAGUUCGAUGGAGCGUGUGUGGUUUACCGGCACAUCGAAUAGGUGAUCGUUACAAUGAAGGCACCAUGUGAAUUUGCAUGGUAAUUCACACCCGCUUUGUGAUCCUCGGUAUCCCAGUCACAAACAAGAGGGGCAUAUCGAGAUUUAAACAUGCCAUUGAAUAGUUUCAAUGAAUCUCAUCCGAACCUAGGAAUUCUCAAAACAUUUAGGACUAAUAGUUAGGUUUUGUGGUGGAGAAUUAGUGAAUCGUCAUUCACUUACCUUCAAUUUAUUUGCAUGUUAGAUUACGGCAUCCCUUUUCUAAUAUGUAAAUGUUAUUGUUGGAUCCUAGCCCUAAUUUUUCUUAUUAGGUGAUAAUUAGGGAUUCUUAUUAUAAUCUAUCUUUGUCCUUCUAUUUGUAGAUGUCGAACGCAAACAACGCUGCUGCUAGUUCUUUCACGUUGAUGAGCCUUGGCCAAAAGGUCACCUUCGAUGGAACGAACUUUAGCGAAUGGAUAAGAUACAUUCGCACCAUUUCUCGCUAUGAGGAUAACGAGUAUGUCCUCGAUGAGAAGCUCGAGAAAAUCAACCCCGAAAUCGCUACUCCGGCUGAAAUCACCGCUUUUGAGACUCAUGAGCGAGAUGCAACGAAGGUACAUUGCAUCAUGAUUGCCACCAUGAACUCCGAAUUCCAAAAGUCCUACGAGGACAUGUACCCGUACGAGAUGCACCAAGACUUAUUGGAGAGAUACCACCAAAAUGCGAGACAAGAGCGUUAUGAGAUUUUCACCAACAUGAUUUCCGCUAAGAUGGGUCAUGGAGAAUCUCUUACCGUGCACUUGCAAAAGAUGCAAAGGUAUGUCGACCGCCUUCGCAAGUUAAAUGUUGACUUUGGGGAAGACUUGGCGAUCGACAUGGUGCUUCACUCUUUGCCUCCGAGCUACAAUCAAUUAAGGAUGACCUACCACAUGAACAAAGAGGAGGUCACCCUAAGCAAACUCCAAGGUCUCUUGAGGGUCGCUGAGAGCAACUUCAAAGACAAGUCUGUUGCACCAACUCCAAUCGACCCACUGCUCCUGUCUUGGCCAUAGGUCAAGGAAAGGGAAUGAAGAGGAAGGCUUCGUAUAAGAGGUCACCCUAAGCAAACUCCAAGGUCUUUUGAGGGUGACCUACCACAUGAACAAAGAAGAGGUCACUCUUUGCCUCCGAUGUACAACCAAUUUAGGAUGACCUACCACAUGAACAAAGAAGAGGUCACCCUAAGCAAACUCCAAGGUCUUUUGAGGGUCGCUGAGAGCAACUUCAAAGACAAGUCUGUUGCACCAACUCCCAAUCCGCCUGCUGCUCCUGUCUUGGCUAUUGGUCAAGGAAAGGGAAAGAAGAGGAAAGCUUCAUCGAAGAACUAUCGCNNNNNNNNNNNNNNNNNNNNNNNNNNNNNNNNNNNNNNNNNNNNNNNNNNNNNNNNNNNNNNNNNNCCCGGAGGGAGGCAGAGUCCCACCACUGCCACAAGAUAGGACAUUGGAAGAGAAGCUGCCCAGAGUACCUACAAGCAAUCAAAGAAGGAAAGAUCAAGCCAUCUUUCGCAGGUAUAUACACAAUUCAAUCUAACGAUUCUAAUCAUGCUAUUUCUUGGGUUCUUGAUACCGGUUGUGGUUAUCACAUUUGUUCUAAUGUGCAGGGACUAAGAAGAAGUAGGGAUGUGGAGCAAGGAAGGAUCAAUCUAAUCAUGGGGAACAGAAGAUCGUCGCCUGUUACCAAGAGUGGAGUGUAUUCUUUAGUGCUUAGGAAUAAUUUGUGUUUCGAGUUGAACAAUUGUUGCUAUUCGCCAGAAAUGGCUAGAAACAUCAUUUCAUUUCAUGGUUUAUACAGACAAGGAUUUAGAUUUUCUUUUAAUAAUGAGAAUGGUUCUAUUUUGGCUUAUCUAAAUGGUGUCUUUUACUUUGAAGCUAUACCAUGUAAUGGAAUAUAUGAAACCGUUAUGAUUGUUGAUAACUUAGGAAAUGAUGUUUUGAAUAUUGAUUCUUCCACUAGUAUGGAUAAAGCAUCCUUGUGGCAUUGUCGUCUUGGACAUGUCAACAAGAAACGCAUAGCCCAACUCCAAAAGGAUGGAGUGUUGGAGUCAUUCGACCUUAGGGAAGAUGACACAUGCGAGUCUUGUUUGCUUGGAAAGAUGACUAAGUCACCCUUCACGAGUACAUGUGAAAGGGGCGAGGGUCUAUUGGACCUAAUACAUACCGAUGUAUGUGGACCGUUUAGAUCAACCACGAAGGAUGGGAACCGCUUCUAUGUGACUUUUACCGAUGACUAUAGUAGAUAUGGGUAUAUCUACUUAAUCAAGCAAAAGUCAGACACCUUUGAAAAGUUCAAAGAGUUCAAGAAUGAAGUGGAGAAUCAAUUGGGCAGGAAAAUCAAGAUGCUUCGAUCCGAUCGAGGAGGAGAGUACCUAAGUCUUGAAUUCCACGAUUAUCUCAAGGAGUGUGGAAUAGUUUCGCAAUUGACGCCUCCUAGGACACCGCAGUUGAAUGGUGUGGCAGAAAGGCGUAAUCGAACCUUAUUGGAUAUGGUUCGCUCUAUGAUGAGUCGUGCUUCACUACCUAUCUCUUUUUGGGGGUAUGCCUUAGAGACUGCCGCCCAUAUCCUUAACCGAGUCCCUACUAAGAAGGUUGCCAAAACACCUCACGAGAUGUGGACAGGGAAAGCUCCCUCGUUGGCACAUAUCAAGGUUUGGGGUUGCGAGGCUUUCGUAAGACGAGAUACUCACGACAAGCUUGAACCUCGAAGUGAGCGAUGUAUUUUCAUCGGCUACCCGCAGACAUCCUUUGGAUAUCUCUUCUAUAGACCGAAGGACAAUGUUGUCUUCGUUGCGAGGAGAGGAGUUUUCCGAGAGCGAGAACUCAUAAGCCAAGGAGACAGUGGGAGGCAAAUCGAGCUUGAAGAGAUUCAAGAGUCGAUAGAUGAAGGAACCUCUACCGCUGGCACUCAACCCGAGGAGGAAACUCCGGUUGAACCGAUUGACGAAUCCUUACCUCUUAGACGUUCCGAUAGAGUUAGAGUUCAACCCCAGUUUUAUGGUUUUCAUAUUACUACCGAAGGGGACACGUAUAUUAGUGAUGGUACACUAAUAAAUCUUGAUGAACCUAAUAGCUAUAAGGAAGCCAUGGCAGGCCCGGAGUCUGCAAAAUGGAAAGAGGCAAUGGAUAGCGAGAUCCAAUCCAUGUAUGAUAACCAAGUUUGGAAUUUGGUUGAUUAUGUGCCCGGACGUAAGACCGUUGGGUGCAAAUGGAUCUUCAAGAAGAAGACCGACGUGGAUGGAAACGUACACACAUAUAAAGCGCGAUUGGUUGCGAAGGGCUUUACUCAAACUCCCGGAGUUGACUAUGAUGAGACCUUCUCACCAGUUGCGAAGAUUAAAUCUAUUAGAGUGAUGCUAGCAAUUGCCGCAUUUCAUGAUUAUGAGAUUUGGCAAAUGGAUGUCAAGACCGCUUUCCUUAACGGAAAGUUGGCUGAGGAUGUUUACAUGGCUCAGCCAGAGGGGUUUGUGGAUCCGAAGCAUCCGAAUAGAGUGUGUAAGCUUGAGAAGUCCAUUUAUGGACUUAAGCAAGCGUCUCGCAGAUGGAAUCUUUGCUUCGAUGAGAAAGUCAAAGAGUUUGGAUUUGUACGAAGCGAAGACGAAUCUUGUGUAUAUGUCAAAGCCAGUGGGAGUAUAGUAAGCUUCCUCGUUCUAUAUGUCGAUGACAUAUUACUCAUAGGAAAUGACAUCCCGACUCUGUAGGAGGUUAAGUCCUGGCUCGGGAAGUGCUUCGCUAUGAAGGACCUCGGAGAGGCUUCUUACAUUUUGGGAAUAAGGAUAGUAAGAGAAAGAAGUAAGAGACUAAUUGGACUUAGUCAGAAUACUUACUUAGAGAAGGUACUAAAACGUUUUAGUAUGGAAAACUCAAAGAAGGGAGAACUACCGAUACAAAGUAAUGCCAAAUUGAGUAAGACUCAAAGUCCGAGUACCGAAGCUGAGAUAGCAGAAAUGAGCCGAGUACCAUACGCUUCCGCAGUUGGCUCAAUCAUGUACGCUAUGACUUGUACUCGCCCUGAUGUAGCCUUCGCUUUGAGCAUGGUUAGCAGAUAUCAAGGGAAUCCUGGCAGAGCACAUUGGAUUGCGGUGAAGAAUAUCCUUAAGUACCUUCGGAGGACGAAGGAAUGGUUCUUAGUCCUCGGAGGGAGUGAUGACUUGAAGGUGCGAGGGUAUAGUGACGCCAGUUUUCAGACCGACAGGGACAACUACCGUUCGCAGUCGGGCUGGGUCUUUACCCUAAAUGGAGGAGCAGUGACAUGGAAGAGUUCCAAGCAGGAAACCGUAGCUGAUUCAACGUGCGAAUCAGAGUACAUUGCAGCGAGCGAAGCGUCGAAGGAGGCAAUAUGGCUAAAGAACUUCAUCGGUGAUCUUGGAGUUGUACCUGCCAUAAAGGAGCCCAUGGAGAUUUUCUGUGAUAACGAAGGAGCGGUUGCCUUGACCAAGGAACCGAGGGAUCAUGGUAGAUCAAGACAUAUCGACAGAAAAUAUCACUUCAUUAGACAUCGUGUAGAAGAAGGACAACUCGUAGUGAAGAGGAUAUCAUCAGAAGAUAACCCAGCAGAUCCGCUUACGAAGGGACUGAGUAGGGUUAAGCACUUGCAGCAUGCUAGGAGUAUUGGGCUGAAGGAUGAUAUUAGCAUAGAUUAGAUAGUAUUAGAAACGUGUAAUAGAUAAAUGUAAUUAACAUUUGAUGAUUAAAUAAAGGAGUUUUAUUUAUGAGUAAUGUUACUGUCUUAUGUUAAUUGUUUAACUAUUGUUUCAUUUUGCAUGUUUUGACUUCCAGAAUAAUUGAGUUUAUUAAGAAUAAUCGAAUUAUUCAAAUUGUCCACAAUCGUUCAUAUGUUGGAAGUAGAUAUGAAUGAAGAUUGUCAUGAAUUGGUGUGUAGAUUGUCUAAAUGGUAUUAGACAUAGCAAAGGGUUGCUGCAACGUUCAUGAGUGCUUAUGAACUAGUUUUGAGCAUUGGAACAAACCCGCGCUUGCUGGAAUCACCUUAUGGAAUAUGAUAUAAAAGGGUGAUCGCAAGACGAUAAUAUCAUAUAGUCUUAAAACCUAGAUAUAUGGUUUGUUAUUUGUUAAUUGAUUGUACAUUGAUAAUGCGAAAACGCAUCAGUAACUCGGUGUUAUAAAACGCAUUGUUGUGUAUAGUUGAUUAAUGAAUAAGUAAAUGCAUAUAAGUCGAAGUUUAUCUGUAACUUUUAACCUAAGAAGGUAAAAGCGAUAUCUCGGCCGCUCGAUGAUUUGAUUUGACUUAUGUGCCGGGCCCGGUCAGAACUGAAUUGAUGUGUUCGAUUAAGUUCUAUGUCAAAUAAAUCAGAGAUCGAGAAACCUAAAUGCUUGACUAAUCAUUCCAUAGAAUUGUCAGCAUGAUAUCUAACAGAGGACUGUACGAUCCCUUAUCUAAAGGACAAGAUUGAUUAGAUCAGAGUUUGACAGCAUCUUUGAGAGCUACGAUUGCAAAUCGGAUUGUACUUGUGCAUAUAGUUACUAGACUUAUCCAAGUGGGAGACUGUUGGAAUAGUGUCUAAGGCUGCAACUAUAUUAGGCAAGUAUUUGACCCGAUUGUGCAUGGUCCUUUUGGGUUGCCUUCACCAUAGCAACUUGAUAGGAUGAUUUAUUAUGAGAGAAUAAAUAUUAUUAAUAUAUUAUGAGAAUAAUAUAAGGAAUAAUAAUAUUGUUAUUUGAUUAAUAUAAGUCAUAAAUUAAUUAGUAUUAAUUUGGUGACUUAAAGAGAUUAAUUAAAUAAGAGGGUAUAAACUGUCAAUUGUUUGAUAGUUACACUUUGGGCUGUAAAUCCUUCUUGGAUAGAGGUUGGACGAAUUCUAGGGCUUGGGAUAGCCUCAAAUUCGUCCAAGGCUUAUCUUUGGAAAGGAUUUGGAUUGCUUUAAGGAAAGAUUAUCCAACUAGGGUUUAAGGGUGAAACCCUAGGAGCCUUACAAGUAUAAAUAGACCCCUAGGGCAAGGGAAAUCGGCACCUCUGCUAAAGCAAAGAAACCCUGGCCGAUUUCUAAUCCCUCUCCUCUCUCUCAAAUCAUCCUCCUUGCUAGUUGGUGUUUGUAAGCCAUUAGAGGAGUGACAAUUGUGACUCUAGAGCUCCAAGACAACAAGAUCAAACAAGAGAUUCAAAGGUAAACUUCUAGAUCUGAUUUUGUAUUGUUCUUAUACCUAAUUAGUCAUUAGAAGUCUUGGAUUCAAAGCAUGUUUAAUUAGAAAGCCUAGAUCCAAGCAUUAGGGUUUUGCAUGCGCACAUAGGAAAGUUCUUAUGGCUAAAACCCAUCAACUAAUCCCUACAUCCACACAAUAAUUGUUCAUCCGCAUAUGAACUUACCUCUCUCUCUCUCUCUAUAUAUAUAUAUAUAUAUAUAUAUAUAUAUAUAGAGAGAGAGAGAGAGAGCCUCUUAUAUACCUUUGUGAAGCAUGAAACAAACCAUGCUACUUACUCUACCUAAAAACUCAUACAACUCCAUAAAGUCCGGUCAAAGCAAAUACCAGUUCAAAUAAAAAACUAUUAACUAAAACAUAUAAUAUAAAUUCAUCAAUAAUUUAGUAAUUUUAAAUUCCAACCAUGCAUGUGAGCUAUAACAAACCGAUUAAACCCAACAAUCACCCCAUUAAUCGGUUUGUUCAUACAUUUAACUCACAACAGCGUUUAAUCACCUUCCUUUCGAACCAUCUCGAUUCUCGACUUUUCCUUAACAUCCGACCUCUACGUCGGUCACAUCCAAAGUUCUUGAUACCCGACUGUUGUUUGUCAUCACACAUAACCCAUUUGCACCACCUUAUCGGAGACCACCAAAAAGAAAAGAAAAUCAGAAAAAAAUGCUCCAACUGAACCACCUUCUCCGCCAUUAACCAUUGACGAACACCAGCAUCGUCAUAACCUCUGUUUACCUUCGACCCACCGGCUGCUUUACCUACAAACCCCGUUGAAAACAGCUGCUACAACCUGUUGUGAUCAACCUACUACCGACGAUCCAACGCCCUCUUUACCGGAACACACCACAACUGCUACGCGCUGAACCUUGUUUAACUGAUACCAUCGUUAAUAUUAUCUUUCUCUGUGAGAACCCCAACCUUUUCCGACCUAACCUGUUCCAUUGAGAGUCCUCUUCCACCAAUCAAGAAAACCAAGCUCUUGCAUCUUCUUUCUUCUUUUAUCAGUUGUGAGCAAGCCAAAUCAAAGCCCACCUGUUCUAAUUGCUUCUCGUCUUUGCUUUUGGUUAGGCACUCUUUAACUCGGAACAAAGAUCAUUAAGGAUGGAGUUGCACCUUUCUUCUUGCUACACCCCCUUUCA